ensembl:lncRNA
AGAUCAGAUUGCCAAAGGUCUUGUUCAGUCAAGUUUCAGGAGGUUCCUUGCAUCUAUCUCUUUGCAAUGUGAUCUAGGGGCUUAGAGACUUCCUGCUGGUAUGCCUUCUUGAGCUGAGGAUAGUUGUUAUCUUCAAUUUAAACCUAAAUAUUGUAGAACAUCCAGCUGCUUCUGUCUGUACUGGCACUGACCGAUCUCUGGUUUCAGGGGUUUCUGAUUGAUGGCAGGUAGCAUGGGGCUGUUUGCUGAUGGAGUCCUUAAAUAGAACACCAGACAACUUUGGAUAUACCUGACAUUGGGAGAACCUUCAUAACCUUCACAGAGCUGCAGAGGUGGCUGAAAUAUCCAGUACUGGCUAAACAGACUACUUCAGCAAAUCAAUUAGGUGACUAUUUAGUAAUUCUUAUUCAUAGGUUUAGACUAUUUCAGCUUACGAAAUCCCUCACGACAGAGUUGUUAAUAGGCUCAGGUGGUCCAUUCUAAUGAAUAUAUUAGUCUAUAGGACCAAGUUUUUAAGUAUAUUUUCUGUGCCAGUAAAGCUAUCACUAUUUUUCAGGAGUUGAAUCAUGAUUUUUUGAGAUUUCUGCUGAUGUUGUUGAAGGAGAAGAAUAUAGGCCAGGUUGUAACUACCUUAAAAUAUUCACGUAUCAUUCUCAUAUCUGACAGAGCCCAUCAGCAGAAAGUUAUGUGGCAGUUCAGCUUUGCCUGUCAGAGCAGGUUUGACUGAUAGGUGAAGGAAAUUCACUGUUAAUAAUAAUAAUAAAUAAUAAUAUGAAGAUCCUUUAGGUCUAGUUGGAAGUAGCAGCUGACCUGCCAACUCUUUUUUCGCUAGUUUGUAAAGAAAUUUAAGAUAGAUCUAAUAUACCUUUUUUUAAUAUUAAAAUAGAUAUUAGUGGAUAAAUUGGGUUGGUAUAAUGUGCUUUUUCCAUGAAAGAAGCUCUGUCAAAUGCAUUUUUUGGUGAAAAAUCUCAUGGCUCCAGUUAUUCUUGAUGUAGAGUUCUUGAUCUGUGGAGCCCUGGGUAGUAAAGCUCGGUAUGUAGCACACACAGAUGGCUUUUAGAAAUGUUUUUACAUCUUCUCUCUGAAGUCUACCCUUCAUGAGAUAGGCUUCAAAUAAUUGGGUUCAAUUCUGAAAUACAGAAGGCAGUCCUGAACUGUUUUGAGCACUGUCAAAUCCUAGUAACAUCAGCGGGAGAGCCAGAAGUUCUCACAGUGAGCUCUGAGCAAGAAGGAAACAUACUCUUUGUGCAGUUCCUUUCGAUUUCAGCAGGCUUGCAAUAUUUGCCCACAUAUAGAAGUUCUCAUUGGUUUGAUCUUGGUGAAAAUGUGUACUGUAUAGCCCUUCUCAAAUAUUUUAGAGAAACAUGGGAGGAGGAGAAUCUUUGAUAUGAAUCACAUUCUGCACCUUCUUGCAAAGUUGGUCAUUGAGUCUUAGCACUAUCAGGGCAAAAUAGAGCUGAUGUAAGAUGAUGACUGUGUUUUCAAAGGUAAUGUUUACAGUAACAGUUCUUCACUUUCCUACAUAUCAUUGCAAAACGUUUGUGAAGUGUAUCUCUUGGGUGCAAACUGCUGAGAAACAAUGGUAAUGAAGGAUGGGGAAAAAAGUAAUUAAAAAGCUGAGCGUAUAUAUGCUAGAUAUGGAUGAAGAUAGUAUAAUCCGGUGCUUUCUGUUAUAGAGAUCCCAUUUGAAAUUGUAUACAACUUAGAAUUUAGAAGUAUUUGUGGUAGACUUCUUCAAGCCAAACAUCUGCCUCAGGCUGUGUUGUGGGGAAGUUUCAAGUUGGUUCAUUUCUGAAACUGAGUCUAAGGAGUAAAGUGUUUUGCUCAUAUUGAAAUAAAUGCAUACCUGUUUUAUUUUUGAAGCUCCAGCCUGUGUUUUCAAGCAGAGACUUUAAAUUUGUCAGGGCAUCCAUCCAUGUCUACAAUUAGCUAUGCUAAAUUCUGCAUUUUUUGCUCAAGUUGGGCACCUCUGAAAACGUGAACUCUCUCACUCAUCAGGCACUCAUUGUCAAAACCUAAUGGCUGAGCUGAAGAUUCACAGAGGUGUUUAGCCUUCUGAUGAACUGUAGGUUUUGGAGGCAAGGGGCAGAUAUUUAGGAAGGAGCGGUAAGCCUAAGUGUAAUUGUGCACAUUGUUCUAAGACCGAAGGUUCUGUCUCACACAGCAUCUUCUGUCCCUUCAUGUGUUUUUUAUGCUUGCUUAACUGAAGACACUUCAUCUUUGAGCUUUGGUAUCUGAACUGGUCAUUCCCUGUAAUUAAUCUUUCCUAUUGCAGCAGUGCGUGGUGCCGAGACUGAUUUUCCCCUUGCCUUCUCAGGGUUCUUGAUAUUGUAGCCUGAAGGAGAGCUAGUAUGAUUGACAUGCAAGGAGGAUGAGGUUUCAGGCAAUAACCAGAUUAGGGGCCCAAGUAAGGGGGAGGGCAAGGAUGGAGAGGUGGAAGCUGGAAGGAGUAGGUGGAAUAGAAAGUAGGAGCAGAUUUUGGAAGAAUAGAAGAGAGAGGAAGGGGGCUGGUGCGUGUGGUGCAUCGGGAAAGAGCAGGUCGGGGGGAGGGCAAGCAGAGCUGAGAUUAAACAGGACCAAGGAGGUGGGAGAACAGGACUGGGCAAGAUGGAUGGAACAGGAGAAAAGGGGAAGUGCUAAAGUGGGUGGAUAUGAAUGAAAAUAGAGACAGGAGCUGUGGCCUGGGGUACUACUUUUUUUUCUCAUCAAGUACAAAUUCCAGGAUGAAAGAGAACCAGGAUUAGGCUUGCUUGAGUUACGUCUGUCGGGCAGAUUAAAUAUUUGUUUGAUGAUGUAUUUGUAAAUACCGGCUUCUGUCAGAUUCUGAUCCUGUUUGAUUUUGUCUAUUAAAAUAUUAUGUGUAUUUUUGGCAUACUACUGUUUUACUGUCUGAGAAUAAAAAAA